rnacentral:rRNA from 1 species
AGAGUUUGAUCAUGGCUCAGGAUAAACGCUGGCGGCGUGCCUAACACAUGCAAGUCGAACGCCCUGCGCGCAAGUGCAGGGAGUGGCGGACGGGUGAGUAACACGUGGGUAUCUACCUUGAGGUGAGGAAUACCGGCGAGAAAUCGCCGACAAAACCGCAUAGGCUCGCUUUACGGAGCGAGCAAAGUCGUAAGACGCCACAAGAUGAGCCUGCGCCCGAUUAGCUAGCUGGUGGGGUCAAAGCCUACCAGGGCGACGAUCGGUAGCUGGUCUGAGAGGAUGAUCAGCCACACUGGGAUUGAGAACGGCCCAGACUCCUACGGGAGGCAGC